UUGGGGACUUUGUGUCUUACUCUGAAUGAGAUGGGAAACCACUGGAGGAUCUGAGCAAAGACGGACACAAUGGACCAAUAUGACUGCUAUGCUGAGCAACCACUGUAUGGGGAGAGCCAAAAGCAGGGGGACCAGCUAGGAGGCUAUCUGAGUCAUUCAGGAGGAAGACAGGAAGAAUGUGGUAUCCUAGAAGCCAAGUCAAGAAAGGAUUCUAGGGGAGAGAGGAGUAAGUUGUGUUAAAUAUUGCUGAUAGCCACUAAAGUUGAAGACUGGUCAUUGGCCAUCGACAAUAGCAAUGAAGAAGCCAUUGGUGAACUUGAGGACAACAGCUUUGGCAGGUCUGUGGGGCAAAAUCUGGAAAGCAAAUGGGAGAAAAGGAAUUACAGACACAGUCAGUGUAGGUGCGCAGCUGGAGUGGGAACAUCUCUACCAUGACCCUCAC